rnacentral:rRNA from 1 species
AGUGAACGCUGGCGGUAGGCCUAACACAUGCAAGUCGAACGGCAGCACAGUAAGAGCUUGCUCUUACGGGUGGCGAGUGGCGGACGGGUGAGGAAUACAUCGGAAUCUACUUUUUCGUGGGGGAUAACGUAGGGAAACUUACGCUAAUACCGCAUACGACCUACGGGUGAAAGCAGGGGAUCUUCGGACCUUGCGCGAUUGAAUGAGCCGAUGUCGGAUUAGCUAGUUGGCGGGGUAAAGGCCCACCAAGGCGACGAUCCGUAGCUGGUCUGAGAGGAUGAUCAGCCACACUGGAACUGAGACACGGUCCAGACUCCUACGGGAGGCAGCAGUGGGGAAUAUUGGACAAUGGGCGCAAGCCUGAUCCAGCCAUACCGCGUGGGUGAAGAAGGCCUUCGGGUUGUAAAGCCCUGUUGUUGGGAAAGAAAAGCAGCAGGAUAAUACCCCGCUGUUCUGACGGUACCCAAAGAAUAAGCACCGGCUAACUUCGUG